rnacentral:rRNA from 1 species
GAUGAACGCUGGCGGCGUGCCUAAUACAUGCAAGUCGAGCGGACAGACGAGGAGCUUGCUCCUCUGACGUUAGCGGCGGACGGGUGAGUAACACGUGGAUAACCUACCUAUAAUUCUGGGAUAACUUCGGGAAACCGGAGCUAAUACCGGAUAAUAUCUUGAACCGCAUGGGUCAAUAGUGAAAGACGGUUUUGCUGGCACGUCUAGAUGGAUCCGGGCCGCAUUGGCUAGUUGGUAAGUUAACGGCUUACCAAGGCAACGAUGCGUAGACGACCUGAGAGAGUGGUAGGCGACCCUGGAGCGUGACCACCGUCCAUGGGCCUACGGGACGCAGCAGUAGGGUACCUGCCGCAGUGGUCGAGAGUAUGGCGGAGCGGGCCGGAGUGUGUGAUGGAGGUCCUGCGAUCGUAAUACCGUGUUAUUAGGGGAAAACAAAUGUGGAAGGAGAUGUGGACGGCUUGACGGUACCGAGUAAGAAAGCCCCGGCUAACUACGUG